GGCCAUGCGGAGGAUGGAAGGAUUUUCGGAUCUUAAACUCCUGUCAAGAGGGAAGAAACCUAUUAAGAAUAACACUCUUAGUAAUUGACGGUACCUCUAGAGGAAGCACCGGCUAAUUCAGUGCCAGCAGCCGCGGUAAUA
rnacentral:rRNA from 1 species